GAUGAACGCUGGCGGCGUGCCUAAUACAUGCAAGUCGAGCGAACAGACGAGGAGCUUGCUCCUCUGACGUUAGCGGCGGACGGGUGAGUAACACGUGGAUAACCUACCUAUAAGACUGGGAUAACUUCGGGAAACCGGAGCUAAUACCGGAUAAUAUAUUGAACCGCAUGGUUCAAUAGUGAAAGACGGUUUUGCUGUCACUUAUAGAUGGAUCUGCGCCGCAUUAGCUAGUUGGUAAGGUAACGGCUUACCAAGGCAACGAUGCGUAGCCGACCUGUGAGGGUGAUCGGCCACACUGGAAGUGAGACACGGUCCAGACUCCUACGGGAGGCAGCAGUAGGGAAUCUUCCGCAGAGGGGGAAAGCCUGACGGAGCAACGCCGCGUGAGAGAUGAAGGUCUUCGGAUCGGAAAACUGUGUUAUUAGGGAAGAACAAAUGUGUAAGUAACUGAGCACGUAUUGACGGUACCUAAUCAGAAAGCCACGGCUAACUACGUG
rnacentral:rRNA from 1 species